AUACGUAGGGUGCAAGCGUUAAUCGGAAUUACUGGGCGUAAAGCGUGCGCAGGCGGUUUUUUAAGACAGAGGGGAAAUCCCCGGGCUCAACCUGGGGACUGCCUUUGUGACUGCAAGGCUAGAGGACGGCAGAGGGGGAUGGAAAUUCGCUUGUAGCAGUGAAAUGCGUAGAUAUGCGGAGGAACACCGAUGGCGAAGGCAAUCCCCUGGGCCUGUACUGACGCUCAUGCACGAAAGCGUGGGGAGCAAACAGGAUUAGAUACCCUGGUAGUCCACGCCCUAAACGAUGUCAACUGGUUGUUGGGUCUUCAUUGACUCAGUAACGAAGCUAACGCGUGAAGUUGACCGCCUGGGGAGUACGGCCGCAAGGUUGAAACUCAAAUGAAUUGACGGGG
rnacentral:rRNA from 1 species